UUUCAACAUGAAGAUGGUUCAUACAAAAUCCAUCAUUCUACUAGCCUGUAUCAUGGGAUCUGCUUGGACUUACCCAGCACAGAUCAUUUUCCCAUAUCAAGAAAUGCUUGCAGAAAAGGAUGCACUUGCUACCGAAGGAACUGUUAGGGGAAUGGAGAUGCCAGUCCUAG